AUGUACAUUGCUACAAUGUUGAUGCAUUGGAUCCCAUUAGAAAUCUACAAUUAAGUGCACUUGGGCUAGAGUAGUAUUGGGAUGGGUGAACUUCCGGGGAGUCCUAAUGUUUUACAUG
rnacentral:rRNA from 1 species